CCUACGGGAGGCAGCAGUGAGGAAUAUUGGUCAAUGGCCGGAAGGCUGAACCAGCCAUGCCGCGUGAAGGUCAGUGCCCUAUGGGCGUUAAACUUCUUUUGUGCGGGAGCAAUAAUGGUCACGUGUGGCCAGACGAGAGUACCGUACGAAUAAGCCUCGGCUAACUCCGUGCCAGCAGCCGCGGUUAUACGGGGGAUGCAAGCGUUAUCCGGAUUUUUUGGGUUUAAAGGGUGCGUACGCUGUGAGGUAAGUCAGAGGUGAAAUGCCCCCGCUCAACGGGGUGAAGUGCCAUUGAUACUGCCUUGCUGGAAUGCGGAUGCCGUGGGAGGAAUGUGUGGUGUAGCGGUGAAAUGCAUAGAUAUCACACAGAACACCGAUUGCGAAGGCAUCUCACGGAUCCGCGAUUGACGCUGAUGCACGAAAGCGUGGGUAUCAAACAGGAGUAGAUACCCCUGUAGUC
rnacentral:rRNA from 1 species